GAGAGGUGGCCGAGUGGUUUAAGGCGCUCGCCUGGAAAGCGGGUUGGCGGCAACGCCUCGCAGGUUCGAAUCCUGUCCUCUC
rnacentral:tRNA from 1 species